rnacentral:rRNA from 1 species
GAUGAACGCUAGCGGCAGGCCUAACACAUGCAAGUCGAGGGGUAACAGGAGUAGCAAUACUUGCUGACGACCGGCAAACGGGUGAGUAACGCGUAUGCAACCUUCCUCUAACUGGGGAAUAGCUCCCGGAAACGGGAAUUAAUGCCCCAUAAUAUACACGAAAGGCAUCUUUUAUGUAUUAAAACUCCGGCGGUUAGAGAUGGGCAUGCGUGCCAUUAGCUUGUUGGUGAGGUAACGGCUCACCAAGGCUGCGAUGGCUAGGGGGUCUGAGAGGAUGAUCCCCCACACUGGUACUGAGACACGGACCAGACUCCUACGGGAGGCAG